GUGAGGAAUAUUGGUCAAUGGACGAGAGUCUGAACCAGCCAAGUCGCGUGAAGGAAGACGGUUCUAUGAAUUGUAAACUUCUUUUGUGCAGGAAUAAAGUGGGUUACGUGUAACCUUUUGUAUGUACUGUACGAAUAAGGAUCGGCUAACUCCGUGCCAGCAGCCGCGGUAAUACGGAGGAUCCGAGCGUUAUCCGGAUUUAUUGGGUUUAAAGGGUGCGUAGGUGGUUUGAUAAGUCAGCGGUGAAAGUUUGCAGCUUAACUGUAAAAAUGCCGUUGAAACUGUCGGACUUGAGUGCAAAUGAGGUAGGCGGAAUGCGUGGUGUAGCGGUGAAAUGCAUAGAUAUCACGCAGAACUCCGAUUGCGAAGGCAGCUUACUGGGAUGCAACUGACACUGAUGCACGAAAGCGUGGGUAUCAAACAGGAUUAGAUACCCCAGUAGUCC
rnacentral:rRNA from 1 species